CUAGAAUUUAUUUAGUUAAUAUUUUUUGUUUUUUUCAAACAACCUUUUCAAGGAAACGUGCUAAGUAUUGUAUUGAAAAGUUGGCGUGUUUGCAGUCCUGGAACAGUAUUUUGGGAAUGUGGAUACUAAGGUCCUAAAGAUGCCUAAUGCAUUUCACGUUUUUGUGAUUCAUAAAUCAUAUGAUGAUAAUUCACAUAUGAAAAACGCUAUACUGUAUUAUGAUGGUGAAGUACCAUAGGAGAGGUCAUUACCGG